GAUGAACGCUAGCUGGAGGCUUAAUACAUGCAAGUCGAGCGGGAUUGGGUAGCAAUACCCAUGAGAGCGGCGCACGGGUGAGUAACGCGUACACGACCUACCUCUAACAGGGGGAUAGCCCUGGGAAACUGGGAUUAAUACCGCAUAUUAUUCUGAAUAAUAAAGGUUUGGAAUGAAGGCUGAGGCGGUUAGGGAUGGGUGUGCGUCUGAUUAGCUAGUUGGUAGGGUAACGGCCUACCAAGGCGAUGAUCAGUAGGGGGCGUGAGAGCGUGGUCCCCCACACGGGUACUGAGACACGGACCCGACUCCUACGGGAGGCAGCAGUAAGGAAUAUUGGUCAAUGGGCGAAAGCCUGAACCAGCCAUCCAGCGUGCAGGAAGGAGGCCCUAUGGGUUGUAAACUGCUUUUAUCAGGGAAGAAACCUCUGGAUUUACUCCGGAGCUGACGGUACCUGAAGAAUAAGCACCGGCUAACUCCGUGCCAGCAGCCGCCGUAAUAC
rnacentral:rRNA from 1 species